rnacentral:rRNA from 1 species
UACGGAGGGUGCGAGCGUUGUUCGGAAUCACUGGGCGUAAAGGGCGUGUAGGCGGUCCGCUAAGUCUGAUGUGAAAGCCCGGGGCUCACCCCCGGAAGUGCAUUGGAAACUGACGGACUCGAGUCCCGGAGAGGAGGGUGGAAUUCCUGGUGUAGCGGUGAAAUGCGUAGAUAUCAGGAGGAACACCGAUGGCGAAGGCAGGUCUCUGGGCAUUAACUGACGCUGAGGAGCGAAAGCAUGGGGAGCGAACAGG